GACGGAGGAUGCAAGUGUUAUCCGGAAUCACUGGGCGUAAAGCGUCUGUAGGUGGUUCGAAAAGUCCACUGUUAAAAAUUGAGGCUUAACUUCAAAGAUGCCGUGGAAACUUUCAAACUAGAGUAUGGUAGGGGUAGAGGGAAUUUCCAGUGGAGCGGUGAAAUGCGUAGAUAUUGGAAAGACCACCGAUGGCGAAGGCACUCUGCUGGGCCAUUACUGACACUGAGAGACGAAAGCUAGGGGAGCAAAUGGG
rnacentral:rRNA from 1 species